rnacentral:rRNA from 1 species
UACGGAGGAGGCAAGCGUUAUCCGGAAUUAUUGGGCGUAAAGCGUCCGCAGGUGGUUAAUCAAGUCUGCUGUCAAAGCGCGAGGCUCAACUUCGUAAAGGCAGUGGAAACUGAUUGACUUGAGUUUGGUAGGGGUAGAGGGAAUUCCCAGUGUAGCGGUGAAAUGCGUAGAUAUCAGGAGGAACACCAAUGGCGAAGGCAGCUCGCUGGGACGGUACUGACGCUGAGGCGCGAAAGCGUGGGGAGCAAACAGG